CUGAGGGGACUGGAGGGCUCCGAGACAGGGGCUGCGGCCUGGAGCCCCGCCCCCUCCGGAACGUCGGCCACGCCUCCCCGCGGGCUGGUGGGUCUCCGAAGUCCUUUCCGCCCUCGCUGAGUCCUCUAGGACCAGCUUCCUACCGAUUCAUUCUUCGAAUCACCGAGACCAAGACCCUACUGAAGAGCGAAAUUCCGGUAUCAGCGCUUCAGGUUGGGGGUCAAGCCCGUGGGGAGAAAGAGCACGUAGCAAUCCUUAAACACGUAGCCCUUGUAUGUGAUUACUGAGCACUCCCCACACCUGUAUCAAUCUCAAUAAAUAGCCACUGCGGAGUUUGCUCCGG